GAAAUGCGAUAAGUAAUGUGAAUUGCAGAAUUCAGUGAAUCAUCGAAUCUUUGAACGCACAUUGCGCCCCCUGGUAUUCCGGGGGGCAUGCCUGUUCGAGCGUCAUUUCACCACUCAAGCCUCGCUUGGUAUUGGGCGACGCGGUCCGCCGCGCGCCUCAAAUCGACUGGCUGGGUCUUCCGUCCCCUCAGCGUUGUGGAAACUAUUCGCUAAAGGGUGCCGCGGGAGGUCACGCCGCAAAACAACCCCAUUUCUAAGGUUGACCUCGGAUCAGGUAGGGAUACCCGCUGAACUUAAGC
rnacentral:misc_RNA from 1 species